UACGUAGGGGGCAAGCGUUGUCCGGAUUUAUUGGGCGUAAAGAGCGUGUAGGCGGCUUGACAGGUCUGCUGUGAAAACUCGAGGCUCAACCUCGAGAUGUCGGCGGAAACCGUCUGGCUAGAGUCCGGAAGAGGAGAGUGGAAUUCCUGGUGUAGCGGUGAAAUGCGCAGAUAUCAGGAGGAACACCAAUGGCGAAGGCAGCACUCUGGGCCGGUACUGACGCUGAGGAGCGAAAGCGUGGGGAGCAAACAGG
rnacentral:rRNA from 1 species